rnacentral:rRNA from 1 species
CAGGGCUUGACAUCCUACUAACGAGGUAGAGAUACGUUAGGUGCCCUUCGGGGAAAGUAGAGACAGGUGGUGCAUGGUUGUCGUCAGCUCGUGUCGUGAGAUGUUGGGUUAAGUCCCGCAACGAGCGCAACCCUUAUUGUUAGUUGCUACGCAAGAGCACUCUAGCGAGACUGCCGUUGACAAAACGGAGGAAGGUGGGGACGACGUCAAAUCAUCAUGCCCCUUAUGUCCUGGGCUACACACGUAAUACAAUGGCGGUCAACAGAGGGAUGCAAAACCGUGAGGUGGAGCGAACCCCUAAAAGCCGUCCCAGUUCAGAUCGCAGUCUGCAACCCGACUGCGUGAAGUCGGAAUCGCUAGUAAUCGCGGAUCAGCAUGUCGCGGUGAAUACGUUCCC